GUACAUAGUACGCAUGCCGUUUCGCCUCGCAAGUCGAGCGGACAGAAGGGAGCUUGCUCCCGGAUGUUAGCGGCGGACGGGUGAGUAACACGUGGGUAACCUGCCUGUAAGACUGGGAUAACUCCGGGAAACCGGAGCUAAUACCGGAUAGUUCCUUGAACCGCAUGGUUCAAGGAUGAAAGACGGUUUCGGCUGUCACUUACAGAUGGACCCGCGGCGCAUUAGCUAGUUGGUGGGGUAAUGGCUCACCAAGGCGACGAUGCGUAGCCGACCUGAGAGGGUGAUCGGCCACACUGGGACUGAGACACGGCCCAGACUCCUACGGGAGGCAGCAGUAGGGAAUCUUCCGCAAUGAACAAAAGUCUGACGAAGCAACGCCGGGGGAGGGAUGAGGGUUUUCGAAUCCAAAACUUUUGUUGUAAGGAAAAAACAGAGCCAAAAGAAACGGUGGGCGCUUGACCGCACCCAAACAGAAAGUCCCCGGUAAAUAACUGGACAGCCGCCGGGGUAAUACGAAGGUGGCGAGCGUUGUCAAAAAUUAUG
rnacentral:rRNA from 1 species